rnacentral:rRNA from 1 species
AUUGAACGCUGGCGGCAGGCCUAACACAUGCAAGUCGAACGAGUGGCGGACGGGUGAGUAAUGUCUGGGACCCUGCCUGAUGGAGGGGGCUAACUACUGGAAACGGUAGCUAAUACCGCAUACCAUCAGAUGUGCCCAGAUGGGAUUAGCUAGUUGGUGGGGUAACGGCUCACCAAGGCGACGAUCCCUAGCUGGUCUGAGAGGAUUACCAGCCACACUGGAACUGAGACACGGCCCAGACUCCGACGGGAGGCAGCAGUGGGGAAUAUUGCACAAUGGGCGCAAGCCUGAUGCAGCCAUGCCGCGUGUAUGAAGAAGGCCUGCGGGUUGUAAAGUACUUUCAGCGGGGAGGCGUUACCCGCAGAAGAAGCACCGGCUAACUCCGUGCCAGCAGCCGCGGUAAUAC